rnacentral:rRNA from 1 species
GAGCGGCGGACGGGUGAGUAAUACUUAGGAAUCUACCUAGUAGUGGGGGAUAGCACGGGGAAACUCGUAUUAAUACCGCAUACGACCUACGGGAGAAAGGGGGCAGUUUACUGCUCUCGCUAUUAGAUGAGCCUAAGUCGGAUUAGCUAGAUGGUGGGGUAAAGGCCUACCAUGGCGACGAUCUGUAGCUGGUCUGAGAGGAUGAUCAGCCACACCGGGACUGAGACACGGCCCGGACUCCUACGGGAGGCAGCAGUGGGGAAUAUUGGACAAUGGGGGAAACCCUGAUCCAGCCAUGCCGCGUGUGUGAAGAAGGCCUUUUGGUUGUAAAGCACUUUAAGCAGUGAAGAAGACUCUUCGGUUAAUACCCGGAGACGAUGACAUUAGCUGCAGAAUAAGCACCGGCUAACUCUGUGCCAGCAGCCGCGGUAAUACAGAGGGUGCAAGCGUUAAUCGGAAUUACUGGGCGUAAAGGGAGCGUAGGUGGCUCGAUAAGUCAGAUGUGAAAUCCCCGGGCUCAACCUGGGAACUGCAUCUGAUACUGUUGAGCUAGAGUAUGUGAGAGGAAGGUAGAAUUCCAGGUGUAGCGGUUAAA